ACAUACCGAAAUAAGGUGAAACCGCGAAAGGCUCAUUAAAUCAGUUAUGGUUCAUUAGAUCGUACCCACAUUUACUUGGAUAACUGUGGUAAUUCUAGAGCUAAUACAUGCAUACAGAGCUCUGACUGGAGACGGAAGGAGCGCUAUUAUUAGAUCAAAACCAAUCGGUGUUCCGACCUCCUAGCGUGGUCGGUCAUCGUAAUUUAUGACGAAUCUGAAUAAACGACGCUGAUCGCACGGUCUAGCACCGGCGACGCAUCUUUCAAAUGUCUGCCUUAUCAACUUUCGAUGGUAGGUUCUGCGCCUACCAUGGUUGUAACGGGUAACGGGGAAUCAGGGUUCGAUUCCGGAGAGGGAGCCUGAGAAACGGCUACCACAUCCAAGGAAGGCAGCAGGCGCGCAAAUUACCCACUCCCGGCACGGGGAGGUAGUGACGAAAAAUAACGAUACGGGACUCAUCCGAGGCCCCGUAAUCGGAAUGAGUACACUAUAAAUCCUUUAACGAGGAUCAAUUGGAGGGCAAGUCUGGUGCCAGCAGCCGCGGUUAUUCCAAUCUCCAAUAGCGUAUAUUAAAGUUGUUUGCGGUUAAAAAGCUCGUAGUCGAAUUUGUGUCCCGCGCCGCCGGUUCAUCGCUCGCGGUGUUUAACUGGCGUGUUCGCGGGACGUCCUGCCGGUGGGCGUCGGCGCGCGAAGUCGUAAGCGUCGUCGUCAGCGGUUCGCCCUAAAAAGCGUUUCCGCGCGACACGCCCGGCCCGCGCGCGGCCCAACUUUAAAUCCCACCGCGGUGCUCUUCACUGAGUGUCGAGGUGGGCCGGCACGUUUACUUUGAACAAAUUAGAGUGCUUAAAGCAGGCCAAAAAUUCGCCUGAAUAUUCUGUGCAUGGAAUAAUGGAAUAGGACCUCGGUUCUAUUUUGUUGGUUUUCGGAACCCCGAGGUAAUGAUUAAUAGGAACGGAUGGGGGCAUUCGUAUUGCGACGUUAGAGGUGAAAUUCUUGGAUCGUCGCAAGACGGACAGAAGCGAAAGCAUUUGCCAAAAACGCUUUCAUUGAUCAAGAACGAAAGUUAGAGGUUCGAAGGCGAUCAGAUACCGCCCUAGUUCUAACCAUAAACGAUGCCAGCUAGCGAUCCGCCGACGUUCCUCCGAUGACUCGGCGGGCAGCUUCCGGGAAACCAAAGCUUUUGGGUUCCGGGGGAAGUAUGGUUGCAAAGCUGAAACUUAAAGGAAUUGACGGAAGGGCACCACCAGGAGUGGAGCCUGCGGCUUAAUUUGACUCAACACGGGCAACCUCACCA
rnacentral:rRNA from 1 species